rnacentral:rRNA from 1 species
AACGAACGCUGGCGGCAUGCCUAACACAUGCAAGUCGAACGAUGCCUUCGGGCAUAGUGGCGCACGGGUGCGUAACGCGUGGGAAUCUGCCCUUGGCUUCGGAAUAACAGUUAGAAAUGACUGCUAAUACCGGAUGAUGUCCCCCUGAGAGAUCUUGGGGACCAAAGAUUUAUCGGCCAGGGAUGAGCCCGCGUAGGAUUAGGUAGUUGGUGGGGUAAAGGCCUACCAAGCCGACGAUCCUUAGCUGGUCUGAGAGGAUGAUCAGCCACACUGGGACUGAGACACGGCCCAGACUCCUACGGGAGGCAGCAGUGGGGAAUAUUGGACAAUGGGGGGAACCCUGAUCCAGCAAUGCCGCGUGAGUGAUGAAGGCCUUAGGGUUGUAAAGCUCCUUUACCAGGGAUGAUAAUGACAGUACCUGGAGAAUAAGCUCCGGCUAACUCCGUG